AACGAACGCUGGCGGCAUGCCUAACACAUGCAAGUCGAACGAGACCUUCGGGUCUAGUUGCGCACGGGUGCGUAACGCGUGGGAACCUGCCCUUAGGUUCGGAAUAACUCCCCGAAAGGGGUGCUAAUACCGGAUAAUGUCUUCGGACCAAAGAUUUAUCGCCUUUGGAUGGGCCCGCGUUGGAUUAGCUAGUUGGUAGGGUAAAAGCCUACCAAGGCGACGAUCCAUAGCUGGUCUGAGAGGAUGAUCAGCCACACUGGGACUGAGACACGGCCCAGACUACUACGGGAGGCAGCAGUGGGGAAUAUUGGAAAAUGGGCGAAAGGCUGAUCCAGCAAUGCCGCGUGAGUGAUGAAGGCCUUAGGGUUGUAAAUCUCUUUUACCCGGGAUGAUAAUGACAGUACCGGGAGAAUAAGCUCCGGCUAACUCCGUG
rnacentral:rRNA from 1 species